rnacentral:rRNA from 1 species
CAGUAGCCGCGGGAAUACGAAGGGUGCAAGCGUUACUCGGAAUUACUGGGCGUAAAGCGUGCGUAGGUGGUGGUUUAAGUCCGUUGUGAAAGCCCUGGGCUCAACCUGGGAAUUGCAGUGGAUACUGGAUCACUAGAGUGUGGUAGAGGAUAGUGGAAUUUCCGGUGUAGCAGCGAAAUGCGUAGAGAUCGGAAGGAACAUCUGUGGCGAAGGCGACUAUCUGGGCCAACACUGACACUGAGGCACGAAAGCGUGGGGAGCAAACAGGAUUAGAUACCCGCGUAGUCCCUGUCUCUUAUAC